rnacentral:rRNA from 1 species
CCCUUAGAUGUUCUGGGCCGCACGCGCGCUACAAUGGUCUUCGCAAACGGAUGCAUUCUCGAAGGAGAAUGCCAAUCUUGGAAUCUAUGCCUUGGUCGGGACAGUUGCUUGCAAUUUUUCGAUUCGAACCAGGAAUUCCUUGUAAUCGUGAUUCAUCACAUCACGAUGAAUACGUCCCUGCCCUUUGUACACACCGCCCGUCGCUCCUACCGAUCGAAGAGUUAGGUGAAUUGUUUUGAUCGAUAAGAUUUGACUAUGGUCAACUCUCGUUGUGAAAUUCUGUGAAUCUGACUGUUUAGAGGAAGGAAAAGUCGUAACA